UCUUGCUCAAAUUACAUCUAUAAGGAAAUAGUAUAAAUUUAAUUGUUGAAUGCAAAGGAUAAGGAUCACAAACGAUAUAGCGCGAGGUGCGAAAUUAGAUUAUAACGCAACAUUGAAAAACAUCUUUCCAUACUAACUUGGGUAGCCGGCACUGCCAAUAUGAUAUCAGGAAGGAUGACAAAGUCAAUGUCAAACGAAAUGAACAACAAAACCGUUUUGCAAAGAUUGAACAACAAGCGCUCAAGAUCAAAAACAGAACGGUUCCUUAUGGAUUUGUAUUUAUAAUUAUUUUAUUUAUACUAGAUGUUGUUUAGCAUAAAUUGCAAUUUAUUUCAUUCAUUCGUUGUAUUUUAUAAAAUGAUUAUCUAUUAACAUAUUAACAUUUAAAACAAUUAUAAUAUUUCAUUCACA